rnacentral:rRNA from 1 species
AUUGAACGCUGGCGGCAGGCCUAACACAUGCAAGUCGAGCGAGCGGCGGACGGGUGAGUAAUGUAUGGGGACUGCCCGAUCGAGGGGGCUAACUACUGGAAACGGUAGCUAAUACCGCAUAAUAUCGGAUAAGCCAUAUGGGAUUAGCUAGUAGGUGGGGUAAUGGCUCACCUAGGCGACGAUCCCUAGCUGGUCUGAGAGGAUGAUCAGCUACACUGGGACUGAGACACGGCCCGGACUCCUCCGGAUGCAGCAGUGGGGAAUAUUGCACAAGGGGCGCAAGCCUGACGCAGCCCUGCCGCGUGGAGGAAGAGGGGCCUAGGGUUGUAAAGGACAUUCAGUCGGGAGGCGUUACCGAAAGAAUAAGCACCGGCUAACUCCGUGCCAGCAGCCGCGGUAAUUC